ACCGGAUCGAGGACAGUGUAUUGUGGGUAGUUUGACUGGGGCGGUCUCCUCCUAAAGAGUAACGGAGGAGCACGAAGGUACCCUCAGCACGGUUGGAAAUCGUGCAUUGAGUGCAAGAGCAUAAGGUUGCUUGACUGCGAGACAGACACGUCGAGCAGGUACGAAAGUAGGUUCUAGUGAUCCGGUGGUUCUGUAUGGAAGGGCCAUCGCUCAACGGAUAAAAGGUACUCCGGGGAUAACAGGCUGAUACCGCCCAAGAGUUCACAUCGACGGCGGUGUUUGGCACCUCGAUGUCGGCUCAUCCCAUCCUGGGGCUGAAGUCGGUCCCAAGGGUAUGGC
rnacentral:rRNA from 1 species